rnacentral:rRNA from 1 species
CCCUUAGAUGUCCUGGGCCGCACGCGCGCUACACUGAGUGUCUGAGAUACGAGUCUGCCUAGCCGGCGAGGUCUAGGUAAUCGCUGAAAGACACAUCAUCCUUGGGAUAGAUUAUUGCAGAUAUUAAUCUUGAACGAGGAAUUCCUAGUAAGCGCAAGUCAACAGCUUGCGUUGAUUACGUCCCUGCCCUUUGUGCACACCGCCCGUCGCUACUACUGAUUGGAUGUUUAAGCGAGGUUCUCGAACUGCUAGCGACUUAGCUUCGGUGAGGUCGCCGUGUGGGAAGUGAACCUAGCUUUGGUGUCUAGAGGAAGUAAAAGUCGUAUCA